GCCUGCUGUUGUUUUUGAGUAUUGUUAGUUAAAAUACGCAACCACAAAAAAACAUCUAUGGAUGACCAUUUCAGUAUGAUCCCUUGAUACUCUUAAACGAAAUUGUUGGUCAUAAGAAUACCAUUUUUCAACAGGAUGAUCAGCCGCUGCGCAUGCACCCCUUAUUAUUGACAUAUAUGAGAAAAGUUCACUUGCUUUUCCAGGAUACCUUUCAAUAAGGACCUGGGCAUAAGCAAUAAAACAAUCAGUCCAAUCCUCAACAGAAUUACCAGUAUGGUUUUUCUUAACUUAGUUUUGUAAAACCAGCAUACCAUCAUUAAUGCCAAUGGCGUUUUCAUUUGUUUGACUGUUGAAAUUGGUGUG
rnacentral:lncRNA from 1 species